rnacentral:tRNA from 3 species
GGGCCUGUAGCUCAGUCUGGUUAGAGCACGAGGCUUUUAACCUCGGUGUCGCGGGUUCAAAUCCUGUCAGGCCCG